rnacentral:tRNA from 1 species
UGCCGGAUAGGGUAAUUGGCAGCCCGCCUGGUUCUGGUCCAGGUAGUCUAGGUUCGAGUCCUAGUCCGGCAG